AGUUCACUGGUUUGGAAGGACUGGUGCAGCAGGAAGGAUAUGUAGCAUCUGGGAGCACAACGAUAUCUAUGUGUAUUCGCUAAUUCUCACACAUACCACCCACCUACACAUACACACAGGCCAAAAUCUUAAAUCUGGAUCCCCAACCUGUUCAUCCCAGCCUCUCCAGCUGACGUUUCAGUGCAGAAACCUCAAGGAGGGCCUACCCUUCUGCCCGCUCCCCUCCCCCACCAGCAGAGUGACUGGUCAC